rnacentral:miRNA from 1 species
UUUUCCAGAUCAUAUCGCCGGUUC